AUGGCGGCGGCGGCGCAGCCUGACCAGGAGCAGGGCCUGAUGGCCUUUGAGGAUGUGGCCGUGCACUUCUCCCAGGAGGAAUGGGGGCUCCUGGAUACAGCGCAGAGGGCUCUGUACCGCCGGGUGAUGCUGGAGAACUUCGCCCUCCUGGCCUCGCUGGGCCUGUCUGUGUCCCGGCCCCGCGUGGUCACGCAGCUGGAGCGCGGUGACGAGCCCUGGGUUCUCAGUGGGGCGGACGUGACCCUGGCCCGGGAUGCCCAGAGGAGGCCCCGCCACAGCUCCCCUCCUCUGGUGGAGGACAAUGAUGUUUCUGGAGAAGCCCCGUUUCCAGGGGCCUUCGGGGAUGGUUCCCCUCUGGCGCCAGCCAGGGUCCUCCACACCGCGGGGGCCUAUGAGAACGGGAAGAUCCCCGAGGGUCGGCGCGGCAUCUCCCCUUCCCGGGAGAGGAGACCCACUGGAGUGUCCGUGAUCUACUGGGAGAGGCUCCGGCUGGGGCCGGGCAGUGGCGACGCCAGCGUGAGCCUCCGGUUGACCUCUUCUCUGCGGCCUCCGCCCGGGGACAAGGCCCUCACAGAGCACCCCGCGCCCAGCCAGCCGCCCCGGGUGUCGGAGCGGCGGAAGCCCUGGGCACGCGAGGCCCCCGGGGGAGCCUUCUCAAGAGUGCCGGGGCCUCCAGGAGCGCGAGGAAUGGGCCCGGCCUGGCGUGGGCCACCUGGCUGGGCCGAGCUCGGUGAGGCGCUGCAGCCCGGGCCCGGCCUCCUCUCCGGGGAGAAGCCUUUCGAGUGCAGGGCGUGCAGCAAGGUGUUCGUGAAGAGCUCCGACCUGCUCAAGCACCUGCGCACACACACCGGGGAGCGGCCGUACGAGUGCACGCAGUGUGGCAAGGCCUUCAGCCAGACGUCGCACCUGACGCAGCACCAGCGCAUCCACAGCGGGGAGACGCCCUACAGCUGCCCGGCCUGCGGGCAGGCUUUCCGGCACAGCUCGUCGCUGGUGCGGCACCAGCGCAUCCACACGGCCGAGAAGGCCUUCCGCUGUGCCGAGUGCGGCAAAGCCUUCAGCCACCGCUCCAACCUCAGCCAGCACCGCAAGAUCCACGCGGGCGGCCGGCCCUAUGCGUGCGCGCGCUGCGGCCGCAGCUUCUGCCGCAACUCGCACCUCAUCCAGCACGAGCGCACGCACACGGGCGAGAAGCCCUUCGCCUGCGCGCUCUGUGGGGCCGCCUUCAGCCAGGGCUCGUCGCUCUUCAAGCACCGGCGCGUGCACACGGGCGAGAAGCCCUUCGCCUGCCCGCAGUGCGGCCGCGCCUUCAGCCACAGCUCCAACCUGCGGCAGCACCGGCUGCUGCACACGGGCGAGCGGCCCUUCCGCUGCGCGGACUGCGGCAAGGCCUUCGCCAAGGGCGCGGUGCUGCUCAGCCACCGGCGCAUCCACACGGGCGAGAAGCCCUUCGUGUGCGCGCACUGCGGCCGCGCCUUUCGCGAGCGCCCGGCCCUCUUCCACCACCAGAGGCUCCACACCGGCGAGAAGUCGGCGCGGCGGCCCCGGGCCGGCCCCCGCCCCCCGGCCAGGCCGCCUUCGGGGGCAUCGCCCGAGGGUGCGCUGGGGCGGGAAGCCGGAGCCCCGCCACCUCGGGCCCAGCUACCAUCCUGA
rnacentral:lncRNA from 1 species